rnacentral:rRNA from 1 species
AACGAACGCUGGCGGCAUGCCUAACACAUGCAAGUCGAACGAGACCUUCGGGUCUAGUGGCGCACGGGUGCGGAACGCGUGGGAACCUGCCCUUAGGUUCGGAAUAACUCCCCGAAAGGGGUGCUAAUACCGGAUAAUGUCUUCGGACCAAAGAUUUAUCGCCUUUGGAUGGGCCCGCGUUGGAUUAGCUAGUUGGUAGGGUAAAAGCCUACCAAGGCGACGAUCCAUAGCUGGUCUGAGAGGAUGAUCAGCCACACUGGGACUGAGACACGGCCCAGACUCCUACGGGAAGCAGCAGUGGGGAAUAUUGGACAAUGGGCGAAAGCCUGAUCCAGCAAUGCCGCGUGAGUGAUGAAGGCCUUAGGGUUGUAAAGCUCUUUUACCCGGGAUGAUAAUGACAGUACCGGGAGAAUAAGCUCCGGCUAACUCCGUG